rnacentral:SRP_RNA from 1 species
UCCCCGGUCCUGCGCAAGUAAGCCUUACGAACCCCGCCAGGUCCGGAAGGAAGCAACGGUAGUCUGAGCGAGCUGUGACGCAGUUCAGCCGGGGAGUC